GGUGCUUUUUCCUGCGGUGGAGAAAUUACUCAAGAAGGAAAAAUAGAAACCCCUGGCUACCCAUCUAGAACUCCUAAUGAAAGCUGCACAUGGCAAAUAAAGGCACCAGCAGGUCGACGAGUACGUGUGACGUUCGAAGACUUCAGUUUUCGGCAAAGAAUGGAUAAGCCUUCUAGCCCGUAUAAUGGAAAAUGUGUUUACGAGCAAGUGGAAAUUAGAAUUACCAACAUGGACGAAGGACAGAUCUAUUGUGGUGAAGAUAUUCAGAAAGGAACAAUAAUGGAAUCAUCCUCCAACACAUUUCUCAUUAUUAUCCGAGCAGACACAAAGGCACAAGGAAGGGGUCUCAAAGCAUCCGUCAGAUUCGUCAAAUAAUUUAUUUUGAAUUUUUUGUAAUGUUUUUGUACUUUCAUAAUAAAAUUAUUUUGUAUUUUUA